CCCGCCGGCCUGGCGCGGGGCGUCCUAGGCUCCGCUGGGCCGCCGCCUGGCUCGCGGAAGACACGCCGAGAAACGUUCCAUCGGGCCCCCAGAAACCUCAGAACAGGUUUUAUUAAACGCCUCCCCUCCCCUAGCUCCGUCUCUUGGAUACAUUGAAAGGCACAGGGUUUCCCCACCCCCCGCCGAGCGCAGACGCAUUGAAAAUAAUUAUAUAGGAAGGGACAUUCCGGUAAGGACGCGGAAUCCGAAGGAGGAAGUAAAACAAUAGCCUUUGUUCUGCUUCUCGACCGCGGCCUCUUUAAGAGAAUCCACCAGGAAAUGGGAGAUCGGGUUACAGCCCGCACCGGGGUAAAGGGGCGAGCUAGCGAGCGAGCGAGUCGCGGAGCGCGACGUCGGAGACAAAGCGGGGCGGCCGCCGGCAGAAGCCCAGCCUGGCCGCGGGGGAUUCCCCGCGAAGGUGGGCGCCCGGAAAAGAGGAGGCGCGCGCGCCCGCCAGGCCGGGGAUGCGGGCGCUGCCCCAGCCGAGCACGCGUCCUGGAGAAGGAAAGGCUGUUGGGAGGUUAUCAAAGGCAGUUGAGUUCCUUUUCCUGACCCCCUUCCUCCCUGUUUCGAAAUCCUCUGUCUUUUUAAAGCAAUAGCGGCCGCUACCAACCGAAAUAGGUGACUAGACUGCAAAGUUGACAGGACGUGUUCCUGGAGAUAAUACCCCUCCCCAGGACUGCUUCUCUGAAACCAUCAUUGGCGGAUGGGACGACCCCGGGAUCCUGCCGGGGGAGGAAUAUUUGGUUGGAAAAACAAUUGAGAGGAGGUUAAAUCCUGUCGGGCUGAAGGUUCUAGCCUUGAGUGACUCAACAAAAGUGGCGUGUAAAGGAGACUGUGUGUGGUUCCAAAGCAAAAUGCCCAGUAGCAGCUGUGGAAGACAUUGCAUUUAGCCAGGGGUGUUAGGGAAUGAAUUAUGGUCUCUUGUGACUUUCUACAUACAAACUGGAAGAGGAACCUGAAUGUCUAGUCUUUAUCCUCCAAAAGAGUG